CAGACUUGUGAAGGUGGGGCCAGCCCCAUGUAAAUCCUAUGGACUGAGAGCUGGGGAGGGAGACAGGGUAUGAGGAGCUAAGAAAUGGCUUCCUUACUUUCUCUUCCUGAAUCGAGAACAAUUAAAAGAGGAUGGACACAGGAUUACGCAUAAGGGGUGCAAACUACCACAAGUUUGAAGAAUGUAGCUUCAUUGUUCAGCUGCAAAGAACUUCUAAGUACUAAAAUCUCAGAAACAGACAGCCCAUCACAGGCAGAACUGGAGUGCAUUCCCAUUGCUCAUAACCAAGGAACACCAUGGGAGCCCAGUCCAGAUGGAAAAUUAUGACGUCUAGUGAGCCCUGUGUCAAGGCCGUGCUGGGUCAAGGACAUUCUAUGGUGAGCAAAGUAGGCACCAUCCCACCUCAAUGAUCUCAUAGUCCAACAGAGAAGAGGAGUUAUGCAAAUAGGCCCGAUUAACAAAUUGGAACAUGUACUAUGAAGGAAACAAAAUUAUGUGGAACAAAAAGGAAUAACUGAAGAUAUCUCAUUUGAAGAUGAGCUACAUCCAGCUCCCUCUGUGUGGAUCUUGGGACAACCAAAGGAAGCAGAAAGGAUUCACUCACAAGCCACAUCCCAGGGCAAGCAGCCGGACCUUAAUCAAGACACGUGGCCCUCUCCUUCCCUUCUCUCCUCAGCAGUUUUUCAUAAAUGUUAAAGGGAGUAUGAAUCCAAGAUGGAGACGCCCCAGCUCCAGUCCCCAGGCGAUGUUGAAGUUGCCGUCAUCGGAAGCAGUCACAGAGGACACUCGCCUCGCUGGGGAAGGAGGAACCCACUCAAGGAAGUCCUCAGCAUGUGAACAGACACAGUUCAGGCAAGUCGCCCAAAGACAUGACCAGCUAGGGCUGAGAGCACCAAGGCCUGAAAGAAGAGGGACCAGCGGAUACUAUGGGGUGAUGCCUCUUCUCAGUGCCCACAGACUCAAUGAAGCUGGAGCUGCUUGGCUCACAGAGGAUGCACGGGGAUCCACCAGCUGUCUCCUUCUCACCCAGCUCGGGAGUCCCUGGCUGACCCCUCCAUCCACCUUGCCUCUGACCAGGUCAUAGCAUCUGGCUCUCCACCUCCAGGGAAGGAAAACAGAAAGUAGUGGGAAGUGACAGGGCCCUAAACCACUUGGAUGGAAAUAGAGUCAUUGGGAGCCAUGGGGAGAAGGACUGGGCCAAGAAGCUGAUUGCAUUGCUCUUGGCAACCACACGUCCCAGCAGGUCAGUCAAUACGGCAGUGCCCACUGGGAUGCGGUUUCCUGAAGCUAACAAAAGAAAUCUAUAUUUUUCUCAGGAGCACCAACCCUUCUCCAGGCAGCACGCGUUCGUCCCCUCCUAUCUGCUGGCAGCAGAAAGGGACAAAGAAACCAAGGCCAGAAGGUGGCUGAGGCUGUCUCUAGACUAAGAGCCCUGAAAGGGAAUGUGGCAUUUUACCUACACGCUUCCCUUUCCUUCACUCUCCAUGGCAGUACUUCUCAGCCCCACAAUUGCAAAGGACUCCAAACUGAGAUGUGAUUUUUCAGUUUCUCUCCUUUCCAAUCCAGCCUAAUAAUAAUAGCUAAUAUUGAUUGGGCUCUUACUACGUGCUAGACUGUCUAUAAAACUCUUUACAUGUAUUAACUUGUUUAAUCCUUGGAAAACCCCGCCCUGUGGGGUAGAUAUUAACUAGUAUCCCCAUUUUGUGGCUGAGGAAUCUGAAGCACAGAGCAGUUAAUUAACUUGCUCACUGUCACAUAGCUUGUUGGCAGUAGAGGCGGACAGCCCAGACCCUGCUAUCACACCCCUCCAAGGGCAAGGUAUUUGGAACUGGACCAGUGAAUCUCGAAACUGCAGCACUAGCCCUUGCUAGCUCUGUGAUUUGGACAAGCUGCCCAAUCUCUCUGAACUUCGUUUCUUCAUCUGUAAUGCGAACAUGAUAAUGACAAUCUUGUAAGAUUACCAGGGAAUUCCAAGGGUAUUAUAGGGUAAUUCCAAGGAUUUGUUAGAUGACUCACCACACUUUCCACCCCCACCACCCAUCCUAUUCUGAGCUCCAGCAAUACCAAAUUGUCUUCGUUUUGCUCACGUGUGCCUUUACAUAUAUCUCUGCUCCCUUUGAGAGCGUUCUCUUACCUACCUGGUUUCUUUGUCCCUUUCUGCUGCCAGCAGAUAAGAGGAUCUUGUCUGGUCAGCUCCUCUCCUGUCGGAUCUCAGCUGGAUGCUGCCGCCUCUGAGAAGCCUCCCUGACUUCCCAACUCUGCACUGCCUUUUCAGUGUUCUCACAAACCCCUGCAUAUCCCUACUACAGCACUCAUCACACUCGACUUGAACUGUCCAAGCACAGGUCCAUCUCCCCUACUGGCCAUGAGCUCUGCAAGGGCAACGUCACUGAGCCCAUCCCAUCCUGAAUGCACAGUGUCUAGCAAGUGCCUGGAAUAAAGAUCAGUAAAUAUUCGUUGCA
rnacentral:lncRNA from 13 species